rnacentral:rRNA from 1 species
AGAACGAACGCUGGCGGCAUGCCUAACACAUGCAAGUCGAACGCUCUUGGGGCUUCGGUCUCAGGGGAGUGGCGCACGGGUGAGUAGCGCGUGGGAACCUGCCCUGUUGUGGGGGAUAACCGAGGGAAACUUCGGCUAAUACCGCAUAAGCCGGUUGUCUUGAAGGAGAUGGCCGGGAAAGAUUUAUCGCCGAAGGAUUGGCCCGCGUUCGAUUAGCUAGUUGGUGAGGUAACGGCUCACCAAGGCGACGAUCGAUAGCUGGUCUGAGAGGAUGAUCAGCCACAUUGGGACUGAGACACGGCCCAAACUCCUACGGGAGGCAGCAGUGGGGAAUAUUGGACAAUGGGCGCAAGCCUGAUCCAGCCAUGCCGCGUGAGUGAUGACGGCCUUAGGGUUGUAAAGCUCUUUCGCUAGGGACGAUAAUGACGGUACCUAGACAAGAAGCCCGGCUAACUUCGUGCCAGCAGCCGC